UCUUUCCCUGCGUCCUGGCCAGUAGGGCUGGAAUUUCACUGGGUCUAGGAAAAGUGGAAAACCUGGCUCGCUGCCAGACUGCAGAUUAGUGCUGCUGAGAUGCUGUCAGCAGCAGUCUUGAUGGAGCUCCAGAGCCUAGUUCCUAAGAACAUGAGCACAGGCAAAGCAGCAGGAAUAUCCUUUGGACCCACAAAGAGAAACAUGAAUUGCAAACGAACUGAAACAACAAAUACUGAAGAUCACUCUACUGUGUGAGGAUUUUCUAAGGAGAUGUCCCUAAAGGAAAUACAGGGUUGUUUUAGCUAGGUAAAAUGCUAGUAUAAUCAAUCUGUGUGCCCAAAUCU